rnacentral:rRNA from 1 species
UACAGAGGUCUCAAGCGUUGUUCGGAUUCAUUGGGCGUAAAGGGUGUGUAGGUGGCGCGCUAAGUCGGGUGUGAAAUUUCGGAGCUUAACUCCGAAACUGCAUUCGAUACUGGCGUGCUUGAGGACUGGAGAGGAGACUGGAAUUUACGGUGUAGCAGUGAAAUGCGUAGAUAUCGUAAGGAAGACCAGUGGCGAAGGCGGGUCUCUGGACAGUUCCUGACACUGAGGCACGAAGGCCAGGGAGGCAAACGGG